rnacentral:tRNA from 1 species
GGGCCUAUAGCUCAGCUGUGGUUAGAGCGUACGCCUGAUAAGCGUAAGGUCACUGGUUCAACUCCAGUUAGGCCCACCA